rnacentral:rRNA from 1 species
GAUGAACGCUGGCGGCGUGCCUAAUACAUGCAAGUCGAGCGAACAGACGAGGCUGCUUCCACUCUCUAGCGUUAGCGGGGGACGGGUUGGCUACACGUCUGUAACCUACCUAUGAAUCAGGUACGACUUCGGGAAACCGUACCGAAUACCGCAUGAUAUUGAACUUCGCGUGACUUAAUAGCUAACGCCAUUUCUGCUGUCUAUUAUAGAUGGACCCGCGGUGUAUUAGCAAGUUGGUGAGGUAACGGCUCACCAAGGCAACGAUACGUAGCCGACCUGAGAGGGUGAUCAGCCACACUGGAACUGAGACACGGCCCAGACUCCUACGGGAGGCAGCAGUAGGGAAUCUUCCGCAAUGGGCGAAAGCCUGACGGAGCAAUGCCGCGUGAGUGAAGAAGGUUUUCGGAUCGUAAAACUCUGUUGUAAGGGAAGAAAAAGUGUGUUAGUAACUGUUGGUAUCUUGACGGUACCUUAACAGAAAGCCACGGCUAACUACGUG